AUCCAACUGAAAAGUCCCAAAUAGGACGAAGCACGCAACCUGGAU
rnacentral:hammerhead_ribozyme from 1 species